rnacentral:rRNA from 1 species
CUACGGGUUGCUCCAGUAGGGAAUAUUGGGCAAAGGACGAAAGUCUGACCCAGCCAUGCCGCGUGCAGGAUGACAGCCCUCUGGGUUGUAAACUGCUUUUAUAUAGGAAGAAACCCUUGGAUGCGUCCGAGGCUGACGGUACUAUAUGAAUAAGGAUCGGCUAACUUCGUGCCAGCAGCCGCGGUAAGACGAAGGAUCCAAGCGUUGUCCGGAUUUACUGGGUUUAAAGGGUGCGUAGGCGGACCUUUAAGUCAGUGGUGAAAUCCCGCAGCUCAACUGCGGAACUGCCAUUGAAACUGAAGGUCUUGAAUAUGGUUGAGGUAGAUGGAAUAUAACAUGUAGCGGUGAAAUGCUUAGAUAUGUUAUAGAACACCGAUUGCGAAGGCAGUCUGCUAAGCCAUCAUUGACGCUGAGGCACGAAAGCGUGGGGAGCAAACAGGAUUAGAUACCCUCGUAGUC